rnacentral:rRNA from 1 species
UACGUAGGGCGCAAGCGUUGUCCGGAAUUAUUGGGCGUAAAGAGCUCGUAGGCGGUUUGUCGCGUCUGCCGUGAAAACCCGAGGCUUAACCUCGUGGCUUGCGGUGGAUACGGGCAGACUAGAGGUAGGUAGGGGAGAAUGGAAUUCCUGGUGUAGCGGUGAAAUGCGCAGAUAUCAGGAGGAACACCGAUGGCGAAGGCAGGUCUCUGGGCAUUAACUGACGCUGAGGAGCGAAAGCAUGGGGAGCGAACAGG